ACAUCCAGAGAAUUUAGCAGAGAUGCUUUAGUGCCUUCGGGAACUCUGAGACAGGUGCUGCAUGGCUGUCGUCAGCUCGUGUUGUGAAAUGUUGGGUUAAGUCCCGNAACGAGCGCAACCCUUAUCCUUGUUGCCAGCACGUAAUGGUGGGAACUCAAAGGAGACUGCCGGUGAUAAACCGGAGGAAGGUGGGGAUGACGUCAAGUCAUCAUGGCCCUUACGAGUAGGGCUACACACGUGCUACAAUGGCGCAUACAAAGAGAAGCGACCUCGCGAGAGCAAGCGGACCUCAUAAAGUGCGUCGUAGUCCGGAUUGGAGUCUGCAACUCGACUCCAUGAAGUCGGAAUCGCUAGUAAUCGUAAAUCAGAAUGUUACGGUGAAUACGUUCCCGGGCCUUGUACACACCGCCCGUCACACCAUGGGAGUGGGUUGCAAAAGAAGUAGAUAGCUUAACCUUCGGGAGGGCGUUUACCACUUUGUGAUUCAUGACUGGGGUGAAGUCGUAACAAGGUAAGCGUAGUGCU
rnacentral:rRNA from 1 species